rnacentral:rRNA from 1 species
AUAACAACAGAUGAUGCCUAUCAACUGUUUAAAAGAUGGGUUCUGCUAUCACUCUUGGGAUGGGACCUGCGGUGCAUUUAGCUAGUUGGUAGGGGUAACGGGCCUACCAAGGCGAUGAUGCAUAGCCCGAGUUGAGAGACUGAUCGGGCCACAUUGGGGACUGAGACACGGGCCCAAAACUCCUACGGGGAGGGCAGCAGUAGGGAAUCUUCCACAAUGGACGCAAGUCUGAUGGAGCAACGCCGCGUGAGUGAAGAAGGGUUUCGGCUCGUAAAGCUCUGUUGUUGGUGAAGAAGGACAGGGGUAGUAACUGACCUUUGUUUGACGGUAAUCAAUUAGAAAGUCACGGCUAACUACGUGCCAGCAGCCGCGGUAAU